UACGUAGGUGGCAAGCGUUGUCCGGAAUUAUUGGGCGUAAAGGGUGCGUAGGCGGUCCAUUAAGUCUGAUUUGAAAGCCCAUGGCUUAACCAUGGAGGGAGAUUGGAAACUGAAGGACUUGAGAACAGGAGAGGAAGGUGGAAUUCCACGUGUAGCGGUGAAAUGCGUAGAGAUGUGGAGGAACACCAGUGGCGAAGGCGGCCUUCUGGCCUGUGACUGACGCUGAGGCACGAAAGCGUGGGUAGCAAAC
rnacentral:rRNA from 1 species